AUGGCGGCGCGCCGCUCGCUCCGGGGCGCGGAGUCUCUCGAGAGGCCUCCCCGCCCCGCUGAGCUCGCCGCGGGCCGGAGGGGGUGCGGCUGGGAGGCGCGGGGAGCGGCCCGCGGAGGGGGCCUGCGGGGCGGGAGGCGGCGGCCGGGGCGGGGCGGGGGGAUGCCCAGGCCGGGUCGGGCCCUGCAGGUGGAGGCAAGGGCCUGGGUCCGAGCGCCCCUUCUCAGCGGUGCCAGCCGCCGACGGCCGGUCCCCCCGCGCCUCGCUCCCUCCCUGUCCUCCAGCUCGGAACCCUGAGCGGGAGCUGGAUGUGCCGGGAGAGGCUGCGGCCCGAGGUGGGCUCCGAGUCCACUGCCCUUCACUGCGGGGGGAGGGGCUUGCCUCGGUUUCCCCAUCUGACGCCGUGGGAUAGAAGUUCCCAUCUCCUGGGCAGGUCAGCUGAGCCUUUGGCUCUGGGAGGAGGUAAAAGCCGUCUGGCUGCACCCCCCCUCCCCCAGGAGGACACCGGCUCUGUCUCCCCGGAUGCUGAGUGAUGGCCUGCUCCUCGCAGGCCCCUUGGGGGUCAAGCAGAAGCAGGGCGCGGGUUGGCCAGACUACUCGGUCCAUACCUAGGUGUGCGCGAGUUCCCACACAGAGGUCCCCCGGGGGACUCCCCCAGACUGGCCUGAAUACAAAAGAAAAGAAAAGGGAAGGCAAGAUGGAAUCCCCUGCUCAUCCUCCUCCCAAACUUGCUCCUAGAGCCUUGGGCGCGUGUCCCUGCUUGUCUGCUAGGACAGCUCAAUAUUAGAGGACAAACUGCAAAAUAGAAAUUCUUAAAAAUGUGUCCUUUCCUUAUACCGAUGGAAGCUUAGGUGAAAGGUCCGACGUGGGACCAGGCUGUGUAAGAGUAGGUGGCUGCCAGGGACAUUCGCGACAGGACUGGAAGGAGGGGCAGAUGAGAAAGGGAAGCUUGAAAUGUGGAAACAGCUCUUUUGUCCCCCCUCCUCCCUCCCCACCAGCUGCUGCCCCUCCUAGUUCUCCCUGCGGGCAGGUGGGGUGUAGGGCCCGCCAGCAACCUCUUCACCCAAGCUCAGCACUUGCUGUGCUCUCUGGAAUGCACUUCCUCCCCUACCGGUACCUCCUAGGUGAGCUCACGACUCCUGCUAAAUGCCCUGUAUUUUCAUUGUUCCACUUCUCUCUGGAUUGGAAACUUCUGGAGGAAAGGCACCUUACCUGAAACCCAGUGCCCAGCCCAGCACGUGCUCGAUGCUCCCUAAUGUUGCUGGAAUUAAUUAACUGUAGGAAGUGGGAGUCAUGGGGGGGGGCGGGGGGAAUGACUCGGUAUUUGCAUCCACUUGGAAAAUCCUAUUGUUAAAAUCCGCUGUGUUUGCCAGACUUUUCUAAAAACACUUUAACACAUUUGAAUGUGUCCUGUCUAUGUAUGUUUUUCAAAUACCUCGCCUCUCUCACACCUUUUCUAUAUUUUUCAAUGUGUCCGUGUGUUACAUUGUGUUAGUUAAUGGACACAUUUGAAAUUUAGGCUCUUUGGGAUAAGGUUAUGUUGAACUUUUGCACAUAUACAUCGUGUACAUUGCUGGAUUUUCCCUGGAAAGAGUGUCACCUGGUAGUCACUGCCCGUGACCCUCUGGAAGGGCUGUACCUAGAGCCAGCUGGCUCUCCAGAGGGCCUGUACCAUUCAUACUUUGACACUGUGAGUGUGCGUUUCUUGUUAUUUCCUAGAAAUGUAAUUACUGAGUCACAGUGUGAGCAUCUAGGAUGUUUGUGUGGUGUGCCCCCCCCCCCAUUUUAUUGAGCUGUUAUUGAGCGCAGCAUUGCAUGUGUCAAUUAAAGGUAUACGGUGUGAUUUGAUAUAUAAGCAUCUUGCAAAAGACCACAACCUGCGUGUUUCUGAUUCAUUUGUCUGAGCUCAUCAGCAAGGUAUUUGUCCCCUGUCUGGUCUCUUGGUGGCAAAGACCUCCCCUCCCCCCGGAUUAUCAUGUGGGCUUUAUUUUUGCUGCUGCUGGCGUGUGUUUUUGAGGAGCACAUUUUUAAUUUUUAUUUUACUUUAGCUAUGUGCCGGUGCUUUUAGAUAAAGGAGACUCGGCUGCAUUUAUGAGCCGACGGGAAGGAGCCAGAAGACGGAGUGGCUGAGUCCCAGAGGAGAGGCGGGUCCCUAGAGUGAGGUCCCAGGGGACACAGGAGGUGGGGGGGGUCCAGUUCUGGCGAGGGAACUUCUGAGCUGGUGAGGACAGGAGGCAGAAGGGAAGGGCCGGGCCAACACGUUAUGAAACUGGCUUUGAACUCCAUGUAGAGGGAGGUGGAAAAGCUCAAUGGAGAGAGAAGGGUCCGUCCUGAGGCCACCGGCUCCCAGUGCUGUUUGCCGGCCUCAUCCCCUGGAGUCCUCCCUGCUUCCCUGGGAGGUAGCAGGUGUUGUCAUCCCCCAGUGACAGGCUCCCAAGGGAGGGAAAGUGCCUUGUCCGGGCUUCAGUCAGCUGGUGAGUGGCAGGGAUGUGCUCAGAGUAGGCUCUCCUGGCAUUAAGUGCCUGCCCUCGAGAACCGCCCUCCUCUUGGUGCCUCCACCCCUAGUAGAUGUCAGGAAGCUGCACCCUUGAGACUCUGAGUGAGUGUCCCUUCCUCCCCUGUCUGUCUCUGUCUUCCCUCUGGACAGACCCCAGUGGAUCCAGGAGCUUCCAGUAGAAGCUGCUGUUGGCCACGGAACUAAAAGAGCCCCCUUCCCUUCUGGUUGGUGCCUGCACACUCUGCCUGGGGCACACACCCUGGCCCAGUGGGGACACACCGCCCAUUCUGGAAGUCACCCCUGUACAAAGUCUGAUUUGGCAAAUGGGGAACUAGGUGAACAGGUACAUGAGACUGAAGCAGGGGGAGUGGUCUUCACAUUCCCUCAACAGACUUGAUUUGAAAGAGCGGAAUCCUCUGGUCUCAGAUGUAGACACAGAGUCCAGAAAGGUCCCUGUCCCCCAAACUCUAUGAUCUUCAUUUGCACCUACCCACUGAGUCUCAAAGGCAACCUCCUGAGUUUUUUUUUGGGGGGGGGCUUCCAUGGAUUGAGCCCUUACUAGGUGCCAGACACUUUGUUAUUUAACCCCCUUGCCAGCCUGUGCUGUUCUUCCCAUUUCACAGACAAGGACACUGAGGCUCGGAGUUAAGCGCCUUUUCUUUACGGCGGUGAAUUUGAGCCUCCAGCGCCAGAGCAAUCCCUGGUGAACUUGGCUGUUUGGGCCACAGGCAGACUCCUUCCACCUGGCAAGGGGUGUUUGAAUCCCAGCUGUGCCUUGGUUCCCUCCACUCUUACGCUGUAGUUGAUAACUAGAGCACCUGCCUUGCAGAGCUCUGCGGGGAUUAAAUGAGUUACUCCAGGAAAACCACUUUGACCACUGGCUCUGCACAUCAAGGAAAUGUGUACUAUUGUUAUUACGAACCAUGUAGCUCCACGCCUGACGGGAGCCUUCCAUAAAUUAGUUCCAGCAACUCACCCACCCUCCCCGUGCCGAGGCUAUGGGAAGGUGGGCGAGCCCUAGCACUGGGAAGAACGUGGACUUUUAAUUUUUUUAAGAAGAUUAUUAAUAAAAAAAAGAUUAUUAAUUUAUUCAUUAGAGAGAAAGCGCGAGAGAGAGCAUGCACAUGAGUGGGGGAGGAGCAGAGGGAGGGAGAGCAAGAUGCAGGAUCCCCGCUGAGCAGGGAACCCAAUAGGGGGCUGGAUCCCAGGACCCUGAGAUCAUGACCUGAGCCACCCAAGGUGCCCCGAGAACAUGGGCUUUUAAAAACCUUUCUGAAAAAGAAAAAGCAAAAAAAUAAAAAUUAAAAAAAUAAAAACCUUUCUGGAGACAAGUUAGUGAUUAGUAUCUACGACUUUAAAUUACAUUUCCUUUGACCCAAGAGGCUCAUUUCUAGGAACCAGUCCUACAGAAGUAAUUAAGGAUGUGCUCAGAGACGCGAGUGCUAAGCUAUUCACCAUGGUGUUGUCUAUAAAAGCAGAAAGAUGGAAACCGCAUUUCUAGCAGGUAGGACAGGAACUAGGCAAUGUGAAGGAAGGACCCGCCAUAUGACAUACACAUGCAGAGAGGAUGGAAACUUAGGGUAUCGAGCCCUAUUUAUGGAUGCGGUGUGAGGACAUGCUAUAGCCUGCGAGCAGCUUUACUUCGGUACAGCUUACACCGUGUCACACGCAUACAGUUGGGUGAAUUGUAGUUAACGUGCACGGUUGUGCAACUAUCUCAUUUUAAAAUAUAGGGCCCAGCAUGUUUCUUUUCUUUUCUUUCUUUUUUUUUUUUUUUUUUUUGUUUUUGUUUUUUAGAUUUUAUUUAUUAAUGAGAGACACAGAGAGAGAGGCAGAGACAUAGACAGAGGGAGGAGCAGGCUCCAUGCAGGGAGCCCGAUGUGGGACUCGAUCCCAGGAACCUGGAAUCACGCCCUGGGCCGAAGGUAGGCACUCAACCCUUGAGCCCCCCAGGCGUCCCUCCAGCAUGUUUCUAAGUGAAAAAUAAAACAAGGUGCAGAACAGUACGUGUAAUAAGAUCUCCUUCUGUGUGCACGCGGCUCUGUGUAAAUACUGCUUGUGUCGGCGACAGCCCCGUGGGGCAGGUCCUCUGGCACCUGGACACAUCAGGAAGGGACCAAGCAAAAUACACUAGAAUGCUGACGUGGGCACCAUGUCACAUGCUUUUGCCUCGGGUCUUUGGUGACUCCACUUCGUCUUCUGAGAGAGGAAGGCAGGUGUCACUGCAGGGUGGCAACUGGACACACACACACAACCCCUCUGUUGUGGGAAUACAGAGAUGACAUGCACAGGUGUGAAGACAUAGCUAUAAUCACCUGUCACCCGCGCAGCCAGCAGUGGCAUUUUGGUGGACUCGUAGCAAAUGGCAGCUCUUCUUACCUAUUAUGGUU
rnacentral:lncRNA from 1 species